rnacentral:rRNA from 1 species
GACGAACCGUCCAAACGUUAUUCGGAAUCACUGGGCUUAAAGGGUGCGUAGGCGGCCCGGGAAGUUGGGUGUGAAAGCCCUCGGCUCAACCGAGGAAUAGCGCCCAAAACUGCCGGGCUUGAGGAAGAUAGAGGUGCGCGGAACUUAGGGUGGAGCGGUGAAAUGCGUUGAUAUCCUAAGGAACACCAGUAGCGAAAGCGGCGCACUGGGUCUUUUCUGACGCUGAUGCACGAAAGCUAGGGGAG